GAUUUUUUAUUUAAUGACAUUCUCUAUUUUUGUCUUAGUUUUUAAUAAGAAAUCCUGACAAUUGGCUUCAUUUUUCUCCAAAGCAUCUCGGCUGGAAGAUGAUUGCUAAUUACAGUGAACCGGAGGAGAGCCCAAGGCAAAGAGCUCAAAUUCCAGUUUGGACAAUACCCUCUUUCUCAUUUGGCCGAGGAAAAUGACUUUAUGCUGUUGCAAUGAACUGUCAGACAACCCCCAGCAUUUAACUCUACUGGAAAAGACCGGGAUAGACACAGAGAAGACAGCCACUAAGAAACAACAAGGAAUGUCAAGGAUCACCAGCAGACGCUAGAAAC